CGAACAGAGAUGAAACGAAUUAAAGGGAGCUCCUCUUCUUCUGAAAGAUUUUGGGAGGCUCACACUCAGCUUGAGUCGCAUUACUGCCACCAAGUGGACUGUGUGGACAGUUGACAAGCAGGGGAACGAGGAUGUAGGAACUUUAAGCUACAUCAGGUUGGAUUGGAAAUGCCGGUGCAAAGCCAUUUUCAGACAUCUCCAGAGAUGUUUAAUUCCUAUUCCUGUCUGGGCACAGACUGGGCCAUUGCAGGAUAUUCACAGAGUUGUUCUGAACUGUCAAGUUUCAUAUCUUGGCUUGGAGUCACUGUCCUUCUGAAACAUGAACAGUCACCCCAGAUUGAGGUCAAGAGCACUCUGGAGCAAGUUUUCAUCCAGGAUGUUUCUAUAAAUUAAUCUUUCCCUAUGUCCUGACUAGUUCCCCAGUUCCUGCUUCUGAAAAACAUCCCCACAGCGUGAUGCGACCCUGCUUCUCAGGAGGUCCAUGACCCGAUUUACCAAACUGAGGAAAUAUGUAGUUUCAACAUUGGUUCCUCCCUUAUUGAGUUCCCAAAUGAAGAUUAAACUUGGAGAGUGACACACUCAAA